rnacentral:rRNA from 1 species
CUUGGGUGGCGACCGGCGGACGGGUGAGUAACGCGUGGGUAACCUGCCUCAUACAGGGGGAUAACAGUUAGAAAUGACUGCUAAUACCGCAUAAGACCACAGUACCGCAUGGUACAGGGGUAAAAACUCCGGUGGUAUGAGAUGGACCCGCGUCUGAUUAGGUAGUUGGUGGGGUAACGGCCUACCAAGCCGACGAUCAGUAGCCGACCUGAGAGGGUGACCGGCCACAUUGGGACUGAGACACGGCCCAA